rnacentral:rRNA from 1 species
UACAGAGGGGGCAAGCGUUAUUCGGAAUUAUUGGGCGUAAAGGGCGCGUAGGCGGCCUGGCAAGUGGAAGGUGAAAUCCCUCGGCUUAACCGAGGAACUGCCUCCCAAACUGCUUGGCUUGAGACCAGGAGAGGUGGAGUGGAAUUCCCAGUGUAGCGGUGAAAUGCGUAGAUAUUGGGAGGAACACCAGUGGCGAAGGCG